CGGCGGACGGGUGAGUAACGCGUGGGUAACCUGCCUCAUACAGGGGGAUAACAGUUGGAAACAGCUGCUAAUACCGCAUAAGCGCACAGUACCGCAUGGUACGGUGUGAAAAGCUCCGGUGGUAUGAGAUGGACCCGCGUCUGAUUAGGUAGUUGGUGGGGUAACGGCCUACCAAGCCGACGAUCAGUAGCCGACCUGAGAGGGUGACCGGCCACAUUGGGACUGAGACACGGCCCAA
rnacentral:rRNA from 1 species